AUGAGUUCAGCAGCUAGUUGCUGGUGCAAAACCUUAGCCAGUCCCUGCAGAAUCGCCGAAUGGGAAAUGGCGUUCCCAAGGAGUCCUGCUUCCACCGUGAGCAGCUAUGCUUCUACUCCGACGCUGAGUAGCUGCCCCAGCUCCUCCAUCUCCACAGGCUGCAGCACCCCUGCCACCCCAAACCCCUUUGCCGUCGCGGCAAUAAGCCCCGCCGCAAUCCAGCACAUAGUUCAAGCCGGAUGUGCCGGUGAUCACAAGCCGGCGCUAGCAGCCACAGGAACUCCUGAAUUCACACAGGGAAAGAAGCUUCAGCAGCAUCAGGAUCACAAGCUGGCGCUAGCAGCCACAGGAAUUCCUGAAUUCACACAGGGAAAGAAGCUUCCGCAGCAUCAGGAUCUUCCGGAAUCAGCAGCGAAGUUUCCCAAGGAAGAAAACCCAGCACUAGCAAUCACAGGAGGUACGGAAUUCAUACAGGGAAAGAAGCUUCAGCAGCAUGAGGAUCUUCUUGAAUCAGCAGCGAAGUUCCCUACGCAAGAAAUCAAUGGCUGGGAGCAUCCAGACCUCUGUUCACCAUCAAAGCUGCUCAAGAACCACUUUACUUCUAUCAAGGAGAUCAGUCGCUGGGCAAGAUCUUCAAUGGGGUCAAAGGUGAACUCAAAUAUCCGGCUCUUGGAGUCUGUAUUUUCUUUGAUACAAGUGGUAACCUCGACAGCACCACACCCAGAUCACGUCGUGGCCAUGAUACGAGUCCACGAAGCGCUUGCUAACCUGUUGCUGGUCCUGCCCAAGAAUAUAUUCCCUUUCCUGUUGCAACAUUUCGCUCAGUUUGUCGAUGAAUUAUGCCCGAAAAGAGGUGCAUCACUAUCAGAAAGGUUUGGAAACGCACUGCAUGAUUUGCGAAGAAGCAUAAGGAGUGGUCUUCGGGUACUCAAAGACAUGAUCUUUGACUAUAAAUCUGACGUAGUCCCCCAAGGUGGCGGUAUCCAUGAGAUCACCAGAUACUUGUUAAAAUACAUCAUGUCACUUCUGGACAAUGGCACCUCUCUCAAGAUCAUACUUGUUGGUGAUGAACAGGAUGACAAGGUUGCAAUGGAGACGCUGCAAGAUACUGUUGCUACCUUGAUCUCUCACAUGGAAAUUAUGCUUGAGAAAGAAUCUCAUCGAUAUAAAGAUGCAGGGUUGAAACAAAUGUUCAUGGUGAAUAAUGUGAACUUUUUGUUGCAUCAAGUAGAAGGCUCAGAGAUAAGGCAUCUUCUAGGAGAAGAUUGGGUUCUGAAGCACCAAGACCAACUAAAGGACCACAUCUCAUCGUUCAUCAACAUUUCUUGGGAAUCUGUCAUGUAUUGCUUCCAUGUAAAGACCAACAAAAUCCCAAUCUUUUCUAGCCUACCAACACUGCAAAUAUUUAACAUGGAAUUUGAGAAAACUUACUGGACUCAGAAGACGUGGAAAGUUGAAAAUCCUCUGCUCCGGUCCAACAUGCGUAAAUCAGUAUCAGAGAAGCUUGUUCAGGCUUACAGUGCAUACCUUGAGAAUCACAAAAACAAGUAUCAAAGGCUUAUGAAGUACACCACCGAAGAUCUUGAAGAGCUGCUGUCAGAUCUGUUUGAAGGAUAA
rnacentral:rRNA from 1 species